rnacentral:rRNA from 1 species
UCCCAGCAGUCCAAGUCGCAACCACUUUUAUUAGGUCUAAAACAUUCGUAGCUUGUUCUAUAAGUUUCCUGUGAAAUUGUUGUGCUUAACACAACAGCGGGCAGGAGAUACUGUAGGACUGGAGACUGGGAGACGUAACGAGUACGGUUGAGGUAGCGGUAAAAUGUUUUAAUCUCAACCGGACUAACAAUGGCGAAGGCACGUUACGAGAACAGAUCUGACGGUGAGGAAUGAAGGCCAGGGGC